rnacentral:RNase_P_RNA from 1 species
AGAGGGAUGGGCAGUCGCGCGCGUUUGCGUGAGGAAAGUCCGAGCUUCACAGAGCAGGAUAACGGCUAACGGCCGCCGAGGGUGACCUUAGGGAAAGUGCAACAGAGAUAUACCGCCUGUUUAACAGGUAAGGGUGGAAAGGCGAGGUAAGAGCUCACCGGCGCGCGGGGAACCGCGCGGCCCUGCAAACCCUAUCCGAAGCAACACCGACCGGAGGAGGGAGUAAUCCCGGCGCUUGCUCGGCGAUACUCCGACGGGUGGCUUGAGCCCUGCAGCAAUGCAGGGACCAGACAGAUGAUUGCCUUAAAAGACAGAACUCGGCUUACAGUCCCUCUCA